rnacentral:tRNA from 1 species
CGGGAUGUGGCGCAGCUUGGUAGCGCGCACGGCUGGGGGCCGUGAGGUCGCAAGUUCAAAUCUUGUCAUCCCGACCA